rnacentral:tRNA from 1 species
GUUUUCGUGGUGUAAUGGUUAGCACAUUCGACGGGUAUUCGAGAGGUGCGAGGUUCGAGUCCCGCGGAAGGCA